UUAACAUCUUAGAGCAUUCUACAUAUCUAGGCAUCAAAGCUGAAUCUAUCAAAGGUGGCCCACAACCUCGUGGAGGCCCGACCCGAAGCAUCAGGAUCAUCCUAUUCGGGGUAGAGAGAGGUCACAUGCACAUCCAUUCCAUCUUUGACAUCCUCGUGCCUCCAUCCAAGAAGAAACUGAGAAGGCUGUCUCGGUGAGCUGAGCAGUUAUCAGAAGACACUGGAAGGAGAUCACCUCCAACGGGGUUCCUGGCAACUGGGAAUAAAUCCAGGCUGCCAACCCAAAUGUGUGUGAACAGCCAGUCAUCACUCUUGUCUUGCUGUGCAGCUUCAAGAAGAUGAAUUGAGCCAAGUUGUCUGGUGCUCCUGUCACCCAGAAGAAGGAAGAAGAAGAGAGGGAGGAAGACGAGGAGGAAAAGCCUGCCCACGGCAUGUUCGGUGCUCUUUUCAAAGGAAGCGGAGAGCAUGCCCACUCACGUGAUGUUGCAGGAUCUGGUUCCUCACAGGUUGGUGGACGGAGGGCCUCACUUCCUCGCUGGCUGCUGGCUGAGGCCUCCUUCAGUUCCUUGCCGCGUGGACCUCUCCACAGGGCAGCUCACGCACGGCAGCAGGCUUCCAUCAGGAGCAUGGGGCUGAAUGUGCUGCAAGCAAUAAACACGUAUUUGCUGAAUGAAUGGGCGGUAGAAUGAAUAUAUACGAAUGAUGUGUGUGGACCAGAAUAUGGCUCAAGACGUG